rnacentral:lncRNA from 1 species
GGGAGAAAUUGGAAGAAGUCACUGAAGCCCUGGAGGGGUACUUGCUCCCCUGGUCGCACUCUGCAAGCUGUGCAGGGAGGGAAGUCUGAAUAGCUGCUGCCUGAUGGUUUCUUAAUGCCUUUUAUGUCUGUGUCCAAAUCUGCAAAGUGUUAUAACUGUCAUCCGACUAAUAACGACUUUUCGUAACUUGAGAUUUCCCCAAACCCAUGCUUACCAGGGGCAGUUGUACAGGUGGGGCAAGUGGGAUCUGAGGGGAAAAUGUUGCUCCUUGGGGUGGGUAAGUGUUAAAUCUCUGUAACAAGAGACAUGAUGUCAGUCAUUUCAAACAUUUAAAAACUUAAAAUGAUGAACGCAUCAUUUGAAAAUACAACCAGAAGGUUACCUGAGCACUGGAACUUUCUCCAGAUUGUUCAAGCUUGUAAAAAAAACAGCAACAAGGUAAAACAACAUGAGGCAAUGCGUUAUUCAUUACAAAGAGAUUUGAUUCUAAAUGAGAACGGGCUUCAAGCCACUAUCAAGCAUUAUACUCAUCAGCGAUGUACCUUUCUCUCUGGAAUAAAAAGCAGUUGAGUCUA